CAGCAGCCGCGGUAAUACGGAGGGUGCUAGCGUUGUUCGGAAUCACUGGGCGUAAAGGGCGCGUAGGCGGCCUGUUAAGUCGGAUGUGAAAGCCCGGGGCUCAACCCCGGAACUGCAUCCGAGACUGGCAGGCUUGAGACCGGGAGAGGAGGGUGGAAUAUCCAGUGUAGAGGUGAAAUUCGUAGAUAUUGGAUGGAACACCGGUGGCGAAAGCGGCUCUCUGGCCCGGAUCUGACGCUGAGGCGCGAAAGCGUGGGGAGCAAACAGGAUUAGAUACCCCCGUAGUCCCUGUCUCUUAUAC
rnacentral:rRNA from 1 species